UACGUAGGGCGCAAGCGUUGUCCGGAAUUAUUGGGCGUAAAGAGCUCGUAGGCGGCUUGUCACGUCGGAUGUGAAAGCCCGGGGCUUAACUCCGGGUCUGCAUUCGAUACGGGCUGGCUAGAGUGUGGUAGGGGAGAUCGGAAUUCCUGGUGUAGCGGUGAAAUGCGCAGAUAUCAGGGGGAACACCAAUGGCGAAGGCAGAUCUCUGGGCCGUAACUGACGCUGAGGAGCGAAAGCAUGGGGAGCGAACAGG
rnacentral:rRNA from 1 species